AGGACGAACGCUGGCGGCGUGCUUAACACAUGCAAGUCGAGCGGAAAGGCCUUUCGGGGUACUCGAGCGGCGAACGGGUGAGUAACACGUGGGUAAUCUGCCCAUCGCUUCAGGAUAGCCAUCGGAAACGGUGAUUAAUACUGGAUAUGACAUUCCUUCGCAUGUUGGGGUGUGGAAAGUUUUUUCGGCGGUGGAUGUGCUCGCGGCCUAUCAGCUUGUUGGUGGGGUAAUGGCCUACCAAGGCUUUGACGGGUAGCCGGCCUGAGAGGGGUCGACCGGCCAACGACGUGGGACU
rnacentral:rRNA from 1 species